rnacentral:tRNA from 2 species
GCGAUAGUAGCUCAGUUGGUAGAGUGGCGGUCUCCAAAACCGAGGGUCGUGGGUUCGAGUCCCACCUUUCGCG